AAAAUAUGUUGCCAUAUUUGACAUUGGUCUUUCCUUGGAUUACUGCAAAUAUUCAGAUUCCCUUCUGAAUUCAACACGAAUUUAGCGGCUGUAAAGAGUACAUUCCUGGUCUCCAAGCAAGUGAUGCUCAGCGCCUUCAUCACAUCAGACCAUCUGAUCUUCAGAUACAUAGGUUCAUUUGAAAACAGUUUGGAGAUCCUAUCAAAGGUACUCAUGAAACACGUAGCAGGUAUCAGGUUAAGUUUUGAUGUGGGCCAACCCUCAUCACAGAUCACGUGACCUUCAUACAUGUAGGACAUCCAAGAGAUCACAGUGAGCAUAUUUAAGUUACUUAAAGAGAGACAUUGCUGGUAUUGAGGUAAGUGAGGAUGUGGGCCAGCAGCACAACACAGGCUAUCUGACCUUC